GGUUAUAUAGUUCAGUUGGUAGAGCACUUGCCUCACGUGCACAAGGCCCUGGGUUCAAUCCCCAGCACCACCA
rnacentral:tRNA from 1 species